rnacentral:rRNA from 1 species
AAUAUUGGACAAUGUGCGAAAGCCUGAUCCAGCCAUGCCGCGUGUGUGAAGAAGAUCUUCUGAUUGUAAAGCACGUUAAGUUGGGAGGAAGGGGUUGAAGCUAAUACCUUCAAUCUUUGACGUUACCAACAGAAUAAGCACCGGCUAACUCUGUGCCAGCAGCCGCGGUAAUACAGAUGGUGCAAGAGUUAAUCGGAAUUACUGGGCGUAAAGCGGGCGUAGGUGGUUCGUUAAGUUGGAAGUGCAAGCACCGGGCUUAACCUGGGAAUUGCUUUCAAAACUGACGAGCUAGAGUACGGUAGAGGGUAGUGGAAUUUCCUGUGUAGCGGUGAAAUGCGUAGAUAUAGGAAGGAACACCAGUGGCGAAGGCGACCACCUGGGCUAAUACUGACACUGAGGUGCGAAAGCGUGGGGAGCAAACAGG